AGAGUUUGAUCCUGGCUCAGAAUGAACGCUAGCUACAGGCUUAACACAUGCAAGUCGAGGGGCAGCAUGGAGUCAGCUUGCUGACUCUGAUGGCGACCGGCGCACGGGUGAGUAACGCGUAUCCAACCUUCCCUAUAGUAGGGGAUAGCCCGGCGAAAGUCGGAUUAAUACCCUAUGUUUUCCGAUGCAGGCAUCUAAAAGGGAACAAAGGCUUGCCGCUAUAGGAUGGGGAUGCGUCUGAUUAGCUUGAUGGCGGGGUAACGGCCCACCAUGGCAUCGAUCAGUAGGGGUUCUGAGAGGAAGGUCCCCCACAUUGGAACUGAGACACGGUCCAAACUCCUACGGGAGGCAGCAGUGAGGAAUAUUGGUCAAUGGCCGCGAGGCUGAACCAGCCAAGUAGCGUGCAGGAUGACGGCCCUAUGGGUUGUAAACUGCUUUUAUGCGGGGAUAAAGUGACGUACGUGUGCGUUUUUGCAGGUACCGCAUGAAUAAGGACCGGCUAAUUCCGUGCCAGCAGCCGCGGUAAUACGGAAGGUCCGGGCGUUAUCCGGAUUUAUUGGGUUUAAAGGGAGCGCAGGCGGGCGUUUAAGCGUGACGUGAAAUGUAGCCGCUCAACGGCUGAACUGCGUCGCGAACUGGAUGCCUUGAGUGAGUACGACGCGGACGGAAUUCGUGGUGUAGCGGUGAAAUGCUUAGAUAUCACGAGGAACCCCGAUUGCGAAGGCAGUCCGCGAGUCCUUUACUGACGCUAAAGCUCGAAGGUGCGGGUAUCGAACAGGAUUAGAUACCCUGGUAGUCCGCACGGUAAAAGGAUGGAUGCCCGCUGUAUGCGAUAGACAGUAUGCGGCCAAGCGAAAGCGUUAAGCAUCCCACCUGGGGAGUACGCCGGCAACGGUGAAAACUCAAAGGAAUUGACGGGGGCCCGCACAAGCGGAGGAACAUGUGGUUUAAUUCGAUGAUACGCGAGGAACCUUACCCGGGCUUGAACUGCAGGAGAAGUAUACAGAGAUGUUGACGUCCUUCGGGACUCCUGUGGAGGUGCUGCAUGGUUGUCGUCAGCUCGUGCCGUGAGGUGUCGGCUUAAGUGCCAUAACGAGCGCAACCCUUGCCAUUAGUUACCAGCACGUAAAGGUGGGGACUCUAGUGGGACUGCCACCGUAAGGUGAGAGGAGGGGGGGGAUGACGUCAAAUCAGCACGGCCCUUACGUCCGGGGCGACACACGUGUUACAAUGGUGGGUACAGAGGGCAGCUACCUGGCGACAGGAUGCAAAUCUCGAAAACCCAUCUCAGUUCGGAUCGGAGUCUGCAACUCGACUCCGUGAAGUUGGAUUCGCUAGUAAUCGCGCAUCAGCCAUGGCGCGGUGAAUACGUUCCCGGGCCUUGCACUCACCGCCCGUCAAG
rnacentral:rRNA from 1 species